rnacentral:tRNA from 4 species
UGGUGCGAGGGGGGGGACUUGAACCCCCACGUCCGUAAGGACACUAACACCUGAAGCUAGCGCGUCUACCAAUUCCGCCACCUUCGC